rnacentral:rRNA from 1 species
AACGAACGCUGGCGGCGCGCCUAACACAUGCAAGUCGAACGAGAAGGCGUAGCAAUACGCUUGUAGAGUGGCGAACGGGUGAGUAAUACGUGGGUGACCUACCCUCGAGUGGGGAAUAACCCGCCGAAAGGCGGGCUAAUGCCGCGUACGCUUCCGUCCUCACGGGGACGGAAGGAAAGCUGUACCGUGGGUACGGCGCUCAAGGGAUGGGCUCACGUCCUAUCAGCUUGUUGGUAGGGUAACGGCCUACCAAGGCUACGACGGGUAGCUGGUCUGAGAGGACGAUCAGCCACACUGGCACUGCGACACGGGCCAGACUCCUACGGGAGGCAGCAGUGAGGAAUAUUGCGCAAUGGGCGAAAGCCUGACGCAGCGAUGCCGCGUGGGGGA